rnacentral:lncRNA from 1 species
UUUUUCGCCUCUAGAAAGAUAAUAAUAUCAGAACUUGUCGAUUCUAUUAAAAAAUAUUUAGAUAUUAUUAUAAGGGCUAUAUGUAUAUACACAGUUGUGUAUUACACAAUAAAUUUAUGGCGACGGAUUUUUUGGACUAUAACAACGGCAAACUGUCGCCAUAGCCCAGAAUAACUAUGACGACAAGUGAAACCAUCGAUAUAGUUCAAAAAAUCGUCGUCAUAGCUUAAUAUAUAAUACACAAUUGUGUACAUUAAUACAUUCAUUUUUACCUUAUUAUAAACUAAUAAUAAUUUUACUAAAGUACUACUAUAUUCUCAUCUAAUAAUCCGUAUCGCAAUACCAAACAAACCGAAAAUUGAAGGGACCACAAACCCAAAAAUAUCAUGCAAAUAAUUGAUUAUCUCUUCCUUCCCUUUGACACGGACAAAUAUAAUUGCUUUUUGGAAUCCAAUCUAAAAAACAGUAGCCUUUUAAGUAUAGUUUAUACUAUUGGAGAGGAUAGUUGUUGACGUGAGCAAGAGAUGAGAUAGAAAAAUGUGUUGGGCGUGUUGGUACUGGUCAACAUUCAGGUGGCCUGGAUUUGACUUAUCCGUGGCAUCUUCAAUUUUCCGAUGGCCGGAUUUCGCCUGGACAAGGCAGAGCUUCCAGUGGUGGUUCGAUUUGUCGAUCGUUGACGAUGUNNNNNNNNNNNNNNNNNNNNNN